CCAUGAUUGUAGACACUUUAGUAUAGUUGGGACACGUCGAGUAGAGUAGAGUUCAACAUCCAUCAACUUCUACCUAAACUCAGAUUCUUCUUUACUUUCAUCAUCAUCACCCUGAUCUCCACUUUCAGUCUAAAAAAGUGGCGUUUGAUGAGAAAAAGGAAAAGUGUUAAAAAAGAUUUUUUUUCCCUCUUAUCAUAUGUAUUCAAUUACAUGGAUAUCAAAUGACAUAUAUAUUAGGAAAACAAUUGACAUGAAUUAUAACUUUUGUUCAUGUCAUAAGCAGCUGAAGAAUUAUAUAAAUUUAAACAGUUUUACAAAAAUAUUAGAACGCGUUUUCAAUACUUCCAACCUCGUAUAUAUCUUCCAGAUGGAUUAUUAUAACUUAUUUUAAACCAUAUCCCACUCAUUCUGGCAGUCCAUACACGUACUUGACCACAUUGAGGAGCCUCUGUAUUUUGACUGUAUGCUUCUACGUAAUUACGAUACCUCAUGUUAAGCCCUUGCUUAAAGAGACAAUGCCAUUUUGUUAUAUUUUUUCCCUCGUCCUGAAGAUGAAUGGUUUUAAUAGCAUGGAAGUUUAGGUGUUGGACUCCUAAGUCUUUUUUUGUGUAGCGACAAUGAUAUUGGAGAAUUCUACCAGGACCGAGAUCGUUUAUGAUUACUAUUGUAUUUUUCUCGCAAGCUUCAGUUUUCGUAGAACAAAUAGCAGUAACUAAUAUGAAAAAUAUUAAACGUAACAUUUCUCGGAUCUAAAUUAAUUAUUGGAGAAACAAGGGCAUUAACAAGUAGUAUUUAUAAUUUUUUUUU
rnacentral:misc_RNA from 1 species